CAGGCGGGAGAUGCGGCUCCGGGAGCGCGGCGCCCGCGGCCAUGGGACUGGGGCAGGCGCUGGUGGCCGCGGCCAUGUGCGCCGCGGUGCUGGGCUGCGUGGGAGCGUCCCGGCUGCUGAGCGGGCAGACAGUUUGCCGGGGUGGAACUCAGCGACCGUGCUACAAAAUCAUUUACUUUCAUGAUGCUUUGCGCAGGAUCAACUUUGAAGAAGCGCACCAGACAUGCAGAAGAGAUGGUGGGCAUUUAGUCAGUAUUGAAUCAGGAUCAGAACAGAGACUGAUUGAAAAAUUGAUUGAGAGUCUCUUGGCUUCAGAUGGAGAUUUUUGGAUAGGACUUAGGAGAAAAGAGGAAGACGUGGACAAUAGCACAGAAUGUCAGGGCCUGUAUUCAUGGUCUGAUGGCAGUACAUCCAAAUUUCGGAAUUGGUAUACAGAUGAGCCUUCCUGCGGGAGUGAGAUCUGCGUUGUGAUGUACCACCAGCCCUCUGCCCCGGCAGGUGUCGGAGGUUCCUAUAUGUUUCAGUGGAAUGAUGACAGAUGCAACAUGAAAAAUAACUUCAUUUGCAAAUAUUCUCUUGAAAAACCAACUGCUGCCCCAGAAGAGAACUCCCACGUGGAUGUUGUCACAGGGUCCUGGAAGCCAACGUUCCCAGAAGAACGCAUUAAGGAAGAUGCCAAUGAAACCCUUAAAGAACCCAAAGAACCUGUUUUGAGUCUUGUCUACAUCUUAAUUCCCAGCAUCCCUCUGCUCCUUCUCCUGAUGGUCGUUACAGCCAUCGUCUGUUUUUGGCUUUUUGCAAAGAGGAAACGAGAGCACAUGGAGGCGAGUCCAAAGGAACAAGAUGCCUGGAUCUCCCCCCACAGGAAGAACAGUCCCAAUUUGGAGAUUUACAAUGUAAUUAAAAAACAAAUGGAGGCAGAUCUGGCUGGGACCAGGCCAGAUACUAAGAAUUCUUCCUUCCGCACCCCUUCCGGAGACCACACGUCUGACAACUUCUCCGGAGAUUACGACAACGUGGCUGUGAAUACUACAGAGAGCGGUUUUGUGACGUUGGCUAGUACUGAAAGUGGCUUUGUGACCAAUGAGAUCUAUGAGCUGUGCAGUGAUCGGAUGGGACAAAGCAAGGAGUCAGCCUGGGUGGAAAACGAAAUCUAUGGAUAUUAAGGAAACUGGAAACACUUGGAUGUGGGUGACACAGCAAAUAAAAACACGAGUAGUCCCCCACAUAUAUUUAACAGUAACACAAAAAUUAUGUGUGUGGCAGUGCACAGUGGUUUCAGAUCACCUCUGUGCUCAUUCAUUUUUUUUAAAGGCUAUGUUAUUUUAAACAGUUGAACACGACAGAAUGUAUUUAGCUUGCCUUGCUUCAAACCCCUGUUCAAUACUGUCUUGGUCUUGGUUCUGUUGGAGCUACAAUAUUUCCUGAGCUCUGGACAUGAAAAUAUUUCUACAUCUUUGCAACUAAACAUCAGUCCAAGUUCCAAAUUCUUUCGUUUUGUUAAUGGACCUCAUCCACAUGGACGUUUUUAAGUCGUACGCCAGCCAUCCAUGCUUUCUCCUAGCUGCACCGGAGAAUGGUGACAGCACAUGUAAUAGAGUUUCUAAGCAGCUAGGAGAAGUGCAGAGUACACCCAAGCCAUGAAGAUGGUGUGAGGGAACCUGCCAAACAUCUACGCAAGUGACCCUCCGCUGGAGUUUGUAUCUAAAUCCCCAAUAACCCACAAGUAUUUAGAUUGGAGCAACAGUGUGAUUGUAAGGGAUGUGCCGGCAGCUCUGUGGUUGAAUUAAGUUCCUGCUUUAUCGACUAGUGAAUGCAUUAAGAUUACAAUUAAUUUUUUGAGCUGUUGAUACAUAAGUAUGAGGCUUUUGUUGCCAUGUGAAGUCUAGGACAUGGGCUGUGAGAUGAACUGAAUCUAUCUUAGUUAACAACUGGUAUGUUUUUAAAGCCUUUUGAAGCACAAUACAAGAUUUAAGCCAGCCCUCUGAUCAAAGAAUCAGGAUUAUAUAUUGGAAAUGAAGGUGAGCAUUGGUCUGGGCAUCUUUCUUGCCCCUUCUCUCCAGCAUUUUAUCCCAUUUAGUCUCUUUUCUACCUGAGAGGAUAAUGUCAGAUAUCGCAGACAAUGUGGAAAGGAGACUGAAAUAAGUGUGUGACUGGCAAUUUCUUUAUACUGUACUUGUCUGGCUCCUGAUUGCAUGGAGAGGUGCCCAGAGUUGCCUUGAGCCACCUGAAAUGAGUUUGAACACCACAAAUCUUUCCUAGAAAAGACCAAAACCAAGAUGGACAACGUGCAAACUCUGUGGAUCUGCCAAUGGGCGUGUAUUCUUUGAGAACUGGAUGCCUGUGACUUUGUACUUUAAUACUGCCAAAGAGCCCCUUGUCACGCAUCGAAAAGGCAUUUGAGGGAUUGUGAUGAGGAAGCUAUGAAUCAAAAAGUGACCAAGAAAGUACUCUCAUUUCCUAUGUAUCCGACAACUGACACAGUUAAAUCUGACUUACUCCAUAAUGGCAACAAGCUAGUUUCAGUCCUGAUGCAAGUUCCGCUACACAAGCGUGAGCUGUGUGGCUCGAAGCUUGUGUCACUCACCAACAGAUGUUGUCCCAAUAAAAGAUAUUACCUCACCCACCUUUGGUAAGCCAAGAGAGAGGCAUUUCCCAAACACAAGCUAAUUUAUCCCAACGAAGCUUUACCAUGCUAAACCAUCCAAUACAGCAAGCCUAGCUGUAUCUGUUCUGGGAUGCUGACAAACUCUUGAGCAAGAUGUGGCGGGGAGGAGUGGAAUCAGAAUCUGAACUCAGGAGAGAGCAGCACUGAUGACUUGGGGUUUACUAUUAACUUGAUGAUCAAUAGAGCUUUCUAAUGCCUGUGUUUUGCUUGUUUGUAUGCAGUCCUUUGAAUGUUUGAAUUAUGGUAAUCACGGCUUUGUGUGCUCUACGGGAAGCUUGAUAUAAAUCAUGUGGCAAGGUUCCUGCACUGUCCAGUACAGCAGACUGGAGCUCCGGUGUGCGCUUCAGAGAAGUGUAAAAAUGGAGAUUCAUAUUUAACUAGGUACAAAAAUGAAUACACUCAUGGCAGGUUUCCCUUAGCUUUUGAAUAUUAAAUGCCAUUUGUUUUAUGCUGGCCAUACAUUUCAUGCUCUGUAUGAUGCAGAACGUGUGGUGGGGGUUUUGGUUUUGGUUUUAAAUGCCUAGCUAAUCUUUUUGAGCUGGCAGGGGGAAGCUGGAGGUUAUUGCGGCUGCAUAGGCAUUUAGGAAGCUUGGGUUUGUGAGAUAAGCACACUAACUGGAUGCAAAAAUGAGGAUCAUCUGUGAAAUAUAUGAAUGUUGACACUGAAAUUUGCAUCAUUAACAUAUAAGGUAACACCCCAUUGAAAUGAAUUGAGGGACAGUUCGCUCCUAAGCUUUUGCUUCAGGCUGUCUGCAAACUCAGGCAGAUAACCUUGCAUUGAUUUGCAUUUGGUUCACAUUUGGAAAGUUUUGGACACCACCCUAAGAGCGUGAGACAUUCUUUUUGAAGUAUACGCUUGGGUUGUGGCUCACAAUUUUGCAGCAAGGGGUGGAUUUUGAGGUAAAUUCUGUGGCUGUGGAAGGAGGAAGUGUGGUCUUGACAAACAGCAAUGUGUCUUCUAGAACCUGUUUAUAGAAUUCUUGUACCCGUUUCGUCCUGCCAGUAACACUUCUGCUGUGAAUAUGUUCAUUGGGUUGGAUUCUGAAAUGGAUAGCAGCCUGCUGGGAACUAUUAUGUCCAUUCUUGUCCAAGUUUAUCCAGAGAGCUGGCUGCACCAGUCUGGGAUUAGACAGUUGUGAUCUAUCUGUUCCUGCAUGCUCUGAUGUCCCGUCAUGGAAGGUUAACAUGCUUGUUUUUAUGUUCUCAUGUUGAAUGUGUCCAGUUCCUGAGAGAUCCCACAGCAUUUUGUAUUGUCUGCACUUACACUAAUUCCGGUCUGAUUCUGGAGUUGCUCUCAAACGGGGCUUGUUUCCUAAAACUGGGAUUUUGCCUGAACAUAUCUCACUGGUCUGAAAAUGAACUGAGAGUGUUGAAUAGCAGAGUGCAGGAUACUUGGUGUCUAUUUUAAAGGAGAGGAAGGAUGGUCCAGUGUUUAGGACACUAUCCUGAGACUUGGGACACCUGGGUUCAGUUCUGUACUCUGCCACAGUCUGACCUUGGGCAUGUUACUCAGCUUCUCUUUCGCUUCAUUCUCCAUCUGUAUAAUUGGGAUAAUAGCACUGCCCUACCUCACAGGGGUGUUGUGAGGAUAAAUACAUUAAAGAUUAUGAGA